rnacentral:rRNA from 1 species
AAAAAGUGCGUGUUAAGUGGAAAAGGAUGUGGGAAUUCAAAGACAACCAGGAUGUUGGCUCAGAAGCAGCCAUACAUUCAAAGAGUGCGUAAUAGCUCACUGGUCGAGAGUUCCUGCGCCGAAAAUGUCCGGGGCUGAAACACGACACCGAAGCUCAGGAAUCACGAUAGUGAUUGGUAGAGGAGCAUUCCUGACCGGCGAAGCCGUACCGAAAGGAGCGGUGGAGGGACAGGAAGAGAGAAUGCUGGAAUGAGUAGCGAGAACAGGGUGGGAAUCCCUGUGGCCGAAUAUCCAAGGUUUCCGGAGUAAAGCUGAUCUGCUCCGGGUAAGUCGGGGCCUAAGGAGAGGCUGAAAAGCGUAUCCGAUGGACAACAGGUAGAAAUUCCUGUACUGCAGUAAGACAGAACUGUAGGGACACGUGUGGAGAGCACAGGCGCGGAAUGGAAAGCCGCGCGCAAGCGGGGUAGGAGAUGUAUAGGAAAAUCCGUACAUCAAUCCGAAGACGUGAUGCGGACCGAAAAAGAGUAGGGAAGUGUGUGAGCCAUGCGUCAAGAAAAGCUGCUAUUGUUCUUACUGUACCCGUACCGUAAACCGACACAGGUGGAUGAGGAGAGAAUCCUAAGGCCGGCGGAAGAAGCAUUGUUAAGGAACUCGGCAAAAUGACCCUGUAACUUCGGGAGAAAGGGUGCCCUCGUAAGAGGGCCGCAGAGAAUAGGCUCAAGCAACUGUUUAGCAAAAACACAGGUCUAUGCAAAACCGUAAGGUGAGGUAUAUGGGCUGACGCCUGCCCGGUGCUGGAAGGUUAAGAGGAGAGGUUAGCGAAAGCGAAGCUUUGAAUUUAAGCCCCAGUAAACGGCGGCCGUAACUAUAACGGUCCUAAGGUAGCGAAAUUCCUUGUCGGGUAAGUUCCGACCCGCACGAAAGGCGUAAUGAUUUGAGCACUGUCUCGACAAUGCAUCCGGUGAAAUUGAAGUACCAGUGAAGAUGCUGGUUACCUGCGCCAGGACGGAAAGACCCCAUGGAGCUUUACUCCAGUUUGGUACUGGGAUCCGGUAUUGCAUGUACAGGAUAGUGGGAGGCUGAGAAACGGUUACGCCAGUAGCCGUGGAGCCAAUGUUGGGAUACCACCCUUGCAGUAUUGGGUUUCUAACCAGCCGCCGUGACCCGGCGGUGGGACAAUGCCAGGCGGGGAGUUUGACUGGGGCGGUCGCCUCCGAAAGGGUAUCGGAGGCGCUCAAAGGUUCCCUCAGAAUGGUUGGAAACCAUUCGAAGAGUGCAAAGGCAGAAGGGAGCUUGACUGCGACACCGACGGGUGGAGCAGGUACGAAAGUAGGACUUAGUGAUCCGGUGGUAUUAAGUGGGAAUGCCAUCGCUCAACGGAUAAAAGCUACCCUGGGAUAACAGGCUUAUCACUCCCAAGAGUUCACAUCGACGGAGUGGUUUGGCACCUCGAUGUCGGCUCAUCGCAUCCUGGGGCUGUAGUAGGUCCCAAGGGUUGGGCUGUUCGCCCAUUAAAGCGGUACGCGAGCUGGGUUCAGAACGUCGUGAGACAGUUCGGUCCCUAUCCGGCGUGGGCGUAGGAUAUUUGAGAGGAGCUGUCCUUAGUACGAGAGGACCGGGAUGGACUGACCUCUGGUGUACCGGUUGCACCGCCAGGUGCAUGGCCGGGUAGCCAAGUCGGGAAGGGAUAAACGCUGAAGGCAUCUAAGCGUGAAGCCCCCCUCAAGAUGAGAUAUCCCAUGCGAAAGCAAUAAGACCCCUUGAAGACGACGAGGUAGAUAGGGCAGAGGUGGAAGUGCAGUAAUGUAUGGAGCUGACUGUCACUAAUAGGUCGAAGGCUUGAUC